rnacentral:rRNA from 1 species
AGACAACAGGGAUUGCCCCAGUAACGGCGAGUGAAGCGGCAGGAGCUCAAAUUUGAAAUCUGGGGCCCCCGGCCUCCGAGUUGUAAUUUGGAGAGGCUCCUUCGGGGGGGAGCGCUGGCCCAUGUUCCUUGGAACAGGACGUCGCAGAGGGUGAGAAUCCCGUGCCAGGCCGGCUGCCUCCUCCCGCGUGAAGGGCCUUCGACGAGUCGAGUUGUUUGGGAAUGCAGCUCCAAGUGGGUGGUAAAUUUCAUCUAAAGCUAAAUACCGGCGGGAGACCGAUAGCGCACAAGUAGAGUGAUCGAAAGAUGAAAAGCACUUUGAAAAUAGAGUCAAAAAGUACGUGAAAUUGUUGAAAGGGAAGCGCUUGAGACCAGACUCAGACCCAGGCAAACACCGCGCCCCCAGGGGCCGUGCAAUUGCCCGGUGCUGGGCCAGCAUCAGUUGGCGUGGCGGGACAAGGGCGCGGGAAAUGUGGCUCCCCUCGGGGAGUGUUAUCAGGCCCGCGCCGGAUGCCGCCGACGCCGACUGAGGACCGCGCCUCGGCUAGGAUGCUGGCUUAAUGGCCUUCAGCGACCCGUCUUGAAACACGGACCAAGGAGUCUAACAUCUAUGCGAGUGUUUGGGCGCCAAACCCUUGCGCGGAAUGAAAGUGAGCGGAGGUGGGAACCCCUCGCCGGGCGCACCAUCGACCGAUCCUGAUGUCUUCGGAUGGAUUUGAGUAGGAGCAUAGCUGUUGGGACCCGAAAGAUGGUGAACUAUGCCUGAAUAGGGUGAAGCCAGAGGAAACUCUGGUGGAGGCUCGCAGCGGUUCUGACGUGCAAAUCGAUCGUCAAAUUUGGGUAUAGGGGCGAAAGACUAAUCGAACCAUCUAGUAGCUGGUUCUGCGAG